GAGACCGAUCAUGGCAGCUCGGACUGGUCAGAAGGCUCUGGGAAGGGUAGCCUCAGGAUUCUGUCCGAAGUCGGCGACAGCAGCCAGAGCCCGAGCUCCAGCGCAGGAGCCUGCGUGGAAAGUCAGAUAUUUAGCUUCCUGUGGUAUACUGAUGAGCAGAACUCUUCCAAUACAUACCUCAAUUUUGCCUAAGGAGAUAUAUGCAAGAAGUUUGUUCAAAAUCGCUGCACCAUUAAUAAACAAAAGGAAAGAAUAUUCAGAAAGGAGAAUUUUAGGAUAUUCAAUGCAGGAAAUGUAUGCUGUAGUAUCAAGAAUGGAGGAGUACAAGCAUUUUGUUCCUUGGUGCAAAAAAUCAGAAAUAAUAUCAAAGAGAUCUGGAUAUUGUAAAACACGAUUAGAAAUUGGGUUUCCACCUGUGUUGGAGCGAUAUACAUCAGUAGUAACCUUGGUGAAACCACAUUUAGUAUAGGCAUCCUGUACUGAUGGGAAACUUUUCAACCAUUUGGAGACUAGUUGGUGUUUUAGCCCAGGUCUUCCUGGCUACCCAAGAACUUGUACCCUAGAUUUUUCAAUUUCUUUUGAAUUUCUCUCACUUCUGCACUCUCAGCUUGCCACAUUGUUUUUUGAUGGAGUUGUAAAGCAGAUGGUGGCUGCCUUUGAAAGAAGAGCAGGUAAGCUGUAUGGUCCAGAAACAAAUAUACCUCGGGAGUUAAUGCUUCAUGAAGUUCAUCACACGUAAAGAAGUCAAAAAGCAUUUGUUAAACCCAGCUCUGAUUAUAAACUUGUACCACUGAAAAUUUGCACAUAGAGCAUGGACCCACGUGUACAUAGAAUUACGUCUUCAAUCAAGUGUAAUUCAGAGUAAUAUCUUCAUUAUCAUGUUCUGCAUUACAGUAAUGGGAUGUCAUCACCAUUGCUAGAAUACUGACAUCACUCCCCUGAGCAGAAAUUGAAACUGUAGAUUUAAACCUUUUAAUUAUCACCUCACCUGAAAGAGGCUAGUUGAGAUACUCACACAGCAUGUAUUAUAUUAACCAUAUCACGCUUAAGUUAUUAAAUUCAGACUAUUUGUAACUUAUUGUUAUAGGGCCUGCCGUGUGGCCUAGGAUAUUUUGAAUAAUCAUCAUAUAUUUAAAGUAAAAACUUUGAUUUAAAAAUACUGUUAAUGAAGGUUCCCUGGCACUUGUAGGUAUUUUAAAAUUGUUCUUGUAGGAGUAGAUAAUUCAGUGCCAUCAUGAGGUUAGCUCCCAGAUAAACAGUGAAUUUUAUUUUUUUUUCAUUUUUGGUAAGUAGUCCAGAGAUUUAAGCUACUGAUUUCCAAUAGUUUGCAGCCUUCUCCCAGGUACUUUGGCUGUUCUUUCAAUAAUGCUAAUUUCAUUUCAAAUUUUGUCUACACCAGUAGGCAACAGAUGAAAAUAAGUUGGUUUGUGUAUCUCCAGUACUAUGCACCCCUAUUUUCUAUUUAUUGUGUGUACUCAUUUUCAAUAAUGUAUUUCAAACUGCUAUUUUUUUAAACGAAUCAAUGUAAGGACCCAAGCAGUAAUUU